rnacentral:tRNA from 1 species
GGGAUUGUGGCUCAGUGGUAGAGCGCUUGCCUAGCAUGUGUGAAGCACUGGGUUCAAUCCUCAGCACCA